UGUCAGCAGCCGCGGUAAUACAGAGGGUGCAAGCGUUAAUCGGAAUUACUGGGCGUAAAGCGUGCGUAGACGGUUGUUUAAGUCGGAUGUGAAAUCCCCGGGCUCAACCUGGGAAUUGCAUUCGAGACUGAUCAGCUAGGGUACGGAAGAGGGAAGCGGAAUUUCCGGUGUAGCGGUGAAAUGCGUAGAUAUCGGAAGGAACAUCAGUGGCGAAAGCGGCUUCCUGGUCCAGUACCGACGUUCAGGCACGAAAGCGUGGGGAGCAAACAGGAUUAGAUACCCUGGUAGUCCACGCCAUAAACGAUGAGGACUAGACGUUGGAAGGGUUAGCCUUUCAGUGUCGCAGCUAACGCGAUAAGUCCUCCGCCUGGGGAGUACGGCCGCAAGGUUGAAACUCAAAUAAAUUGACGG
rnacentral:rRNA from 1 species